rnacentral:tRNA from 1 species
GCUUCUGUGGCGCAAUUGGUUAGCGCGUUCGGCUGUUAACCGAAAGGUUGGUGGUUCAAGCCCACCCACAGGAG